UAGGGAAUCUUCCGCAAUGGGCGAAAGCCUGACGGAGCAACGCCGCGUGAGUGAUGAAGGUCUUCGGAUCGUAAAACUCUGUUAUUAGGGAAGAACAAAUGUGUAAGUAACUAUGCACGUCUUGACGGUACCUAAUCAGAAAGCCACGGCUAACUACGUGCCAGCAGCCGCGGUAAUACGUAGGUGGCAAGCGUUAUCCGGAAUUAUCGGGCGUAAAGCGCGCGUAGGCGGUUUUUUAAGUCUGAUGUGAAAGCCCACGGCUCAACCGUGGAGGGUCAUUGGAAACUGGAAAACUUGAGUGCAGAAGAGGAAAGUGGAAUUCCAUGUGUAGCGGUGAAAUGCGCAGAGAUAUGGAGGAACACCAGUGGCGAAGGCGACUUUCUGGUCUGUAACUGACGCUGAUGUGCGAAAGCGUGGGGAUCAAACAGG
rnacentral:rRNA from 1 species